rnacentral:rRNA from 1 species
CAGCAGCCACGGGAAUACGUAGGUGGCAAGCGUUGUCCGGAUUUAUUGGGCGUAAAGCGAGCGCAGGCGGUUAGAUAAGUCCGAAGUUAAAGGCUGUGGCUUAACCAUAGUACGCUUUGGAAACUGUUUAACUUGAGUGCAAGAGGGGAGAGUGGAAUUCCAUGUGUAGCGGUGAAAUGCGUAGAUAUAUGGAGGAACACCGGUGGCGAAAGCGGCUCUCUGGCUUGUAACUGACGCUGAGGCUCGAGAGCGUGGGGAGCAAACAGGAUUAGAUACCCCGGUAGUCCCUGUCUCUUAUACA